rnacentral:rRNA from 1 species
CUUCGUGAUCUAACGAAGCAGUUUGCCCCAUCCGUGCUAUGCAUAGUGGAAACUCAAAUAUCUAAAGAACGGGUCAAGAAUCUUUCUGAUACUUUAGGUUUUACUCAUUCUUAUGUUGUUGGUAGCUCGGGCCGUAGUGGUGGCCUCGGUUUGUUUUGGAAUGAUGCAAUAAAAAUAAAUGUUUCAGGUUACUCAGAGUACCAUAUUGAAGCUACUGUUAGCUCACAUAAUAGCCCCGAUUGGCGCCUCACGUGUGUCAUGGUGAAGCUCAGGUCGGAGAAAGAUACAAAACAUGGGACACUCUAA